CUCAACUCCGGACAUGCAGAAGAUACUGGCGGACUAGAGACCGGUAGAGGCAAGCAGAAUUCCUGGUGUAGCGGUGGAAUGCGUAGAUAUCAGGAAGAACACCUGUGGCGAAGGCGGCUUGCUGGGCCGGAUCUGACGCUGAUCCGCGAAAGCGUGGGGAGCAAACAGGAUUAGAUACCCUGGUAGUCCACGCCGUAAACGAUGGGCACUAGACGCCGGGUCUAUAGACGGAUUCGGUGUCGCAGCUAACGCAUUAAGUGCCCCGCCUGGGGAGUACGGCCGCAAGGCUGAAACUCAAAGGAAUUGACGGGGGCCCGCACAAGCGGUGGAGCAUGUGGUUUAAUUCGAUGCAACGCGAAGAACCUUACCGAGAAUUGACAUCCCGUGACUACCUGUGAGAGCAGGGUUUAGUGUUUACACUACAC
rnacentral:rRNA from 1 species